AGCGUUAUCCGGAAUCAUUGGGCGUAAAGCGCCUGUAGGUUGUUUAAUAAGUCUGUUGUUAAAGACUAGGGCUUAACCCUAGAAAAGCAAUGGAAACUACUAGACUAGAGUAUGGCAGGGGUAGAGGGAAUUUCUAGUGUAGCGGUGAAAUGCGUAGAUAUUAGAAAGAACACCGGUGGCGAAAGCGCUCUACUGGACCAUUACUGACACUCAGAGGCGAAAGCUAGGGUAGCAAAAGGGAUUAGAUACCCCUGUAGUCCUAGCCGUAAACGAUGGAUACUAGAUGUUGUGCAUAAUGUACAGUAUCGUAGCUAACGCGUUAAGUAUCCCGCCUGGGGAGUACGCUCGCAAGGGUGAAACUCAAAGGAAUUGACGGGGGCCCGCACAAGCGGUGGAGCAUGUGGUUUAAUUCGAUGCAACGCGAAGAACCUUACCAGGGCUUGACAUACUACAGGUUCUUUUGAGAAAAAGAAGUGCCUUCGGGAAUGUAGAUACAGGUGGUGCAUGGCUGUCGUCAGCUCGUGUCGUGAGAUGUUGGGUUAAGUCCCGCAACGAGCGCAACCCUUAUUUUUAGUUACCAAUUCAUUAGGUUCUCUAGAAAGACUGCCGGUGACAAACCGGAGGAAGGUGAGGAUGACGUCAAGUCAGCAUGCCCCUUAUGUCCUGGGCUACACACGUGCUACAAUGGUUAAGACAAAGAGUCGCGAGCUCGCGAGAGUCAGCUAAUCUCAUAAACUUAGCC
rnacentral:rRNA from 1 species